rnacentral:ncRNA from 1 species
GAUCAAGCGUCUGAAGGGCAUCUGGUGGAUGCCUUGGCACUGAGAGGCGAUGAAGGACGUAGCACGUUGCGAUAAGUCACGGGGAGCCGCGAGCAGGCAUUGAUCCGUGAAUUUCCGAAUGGGGAAACCCACCGCGUCAAGCGGUAUCCCAUGCUGAAUCCAUAGGCAUGGGAAGCGAACCCGGCGAACUGAAACAUCUAAGUAGCCGGAGGAAAGGACAUCAACCGAGACUCCGCUAGUAGUGGCGAGCGAACGCGGACCAGGCCAGUCAUUCGAUCUACAUAACCGGAACCGUCUGGAAAGUCGGGCCAUAGCGGGUGAUAGCCCCGUACGGAUAAACCGGAUCGAAUGCUCGAGUAGGGCGGGGCACGUGAAACCCUGUCUGAACAUGGGGGGACCACCCUCCAAGCCUAAGUACUCCUCAGUGACCGAUAGUGCACCAGUACCGUGAGGGAAAGGUGAAAAGCACCCCGACAAGGGGAGUGAAACAGUUCCUGAAACCGGAUGCCUACAAGCAGUCGGAGCCUCCCAAGUCUUGAAAAAGAUGGGCGGGGUGACGGCGUACCUUUUGUAUAAUGGGUCAGCGACUUAGAGUAUGCAGCGAGCUUAAGCCGGUAGGUGGAGGCGCAGCGAAAGCGAGUCUGAAUAGGGCGACCGAGUUGCAUGCUUUAGACCCGAAACCUGAUGAUCUAGCCAUGGGCAGGUUGAAGGUGCGGUAACACGCACUGGAGGACCGAACUCACGCCUGUUGAAAAAGUCGGAGAUGACCUGUGGCUAGGGGUGAAAGGCCAAUCAAAUCAGGAAAUAGCUGGUUCUCCGCGAAAGCUAUUUAGGUAGCGCGUCGCGUAUUGCCGCGGGGGGUAGAGCACUGGAUGGGCUAGGGGGGCGCGAGCCUUACCAAACCUAACCAAACUCCGAAUACCCGUGAGCAGAGCGCGGCAGACAGACGGUGGGUGCUAAGGUCCAUCGUCGAGAGGGAAACAGCCCAGACCGCCAGCUAAGGUCCCCAAAUCACGGCUAAGUGGGAAAGGAUGUGGGAAGGCCAUGACAACCAGGAGGUUGGCUUAGAAGCAGCCAUCCUUUAAAGAAAGCGUAAUAGCUCACUGGUCUAGUUAAGCCGGCCUGCGCCGAAAAUGUAUCGGGGCUCAAGCCGUGUACCGAAGCUGC